rnacentral:tRNA from 1 species
AGGCUAGUAAUUUAAGUUAGAAGACUUACAUAAUUUGUAAGUGGUGUGGGUUCGAAUCCCACCUAGCUGACUA